CACAGUGUGAUCUAGGGAAUAGGGUACUGGGUUGGGACUCAGGAGACUUGGGUACAAUUCCCAGCUCUGUGA
rnacentral:tRNA from 1 species